rnacentral:rRNA from 1 species
AUUGAACGCUGGCGGCAGGCCUAACACAUGCAAGUCGAACGGUAACAGGAAGCAGCUUGCUGCUUCGCUGACGAGUGGCGGACGGGUGAGUAAUGUCUGGGAAGCUGCCUGAUGGAGGGGGAUAACUACUGGAAACGGUAGCUAAUACCGCAUAAUGUCGCAAGACCAAAGAGGGGGACCUUCGGGCCUCUUGCCAUCGGUUGUGCCUAUAUGGGAUUAGCUUGUUGGUGGGGUAACGGCUCACCAAGGCGACGAUCCCUAGCUGGUCUGAGAGGAUGACCAGCCACACUGGGACUGAGACACGGUCCAGACUCCUACGGGAGGCAGCAGUGGGGAAUAUUGCACAAUGGGCGCAAGCCUGAUGCAGCCAUGCCGCGUGUAUGAAGAAGGCCUUCGGGUUGUAAAGUACUUUCAGCGGGGAGGAAGGGAGUAAAGUUAAUACCUUUGCUCAUUGACGUUACCCGCAGAAGAAGCACCGGCUAACUCCGUG